GACGAACGCUGGCGGCGUGCUUAACACAUGCAAGUCGAACGGAAAGGCCCUGCUCUUGUGGGGUGCUCGGGUGGCGAACGGGUGAGUAACACGAGAGUAACCUGCCCUUGACUUUGGGAUAGCUUCAGGAAACUGGGGCUAAGAUCGGAUAGGAGCUCCUGCGGCAGGGUGGGGGUUGGAAAGUUUCGGCGGUUGGGUAUGGACGCGCGGCUUAUCAGCUUGUUGGUGGGGUAGUGGCUUACCAAGGCUUUGACGGGUAGCCGGCCUGAGAGGGUGACCGGCCACAUUGGGACUGAGACACGGCCCAGACUCGUACGGGAGGCAGCAGUGGGGAAUAGUGCACAAUGGGCGGAAGCCUGAUGGAGCAACGCCGCGUGCGGUAUGACGGCCUUCGGGUUGUAAACCGCUUUCGCCUGUGACGAAGCGUGAGUGACGGUAAUGGGUAAAGAAGCACCGGCUAACUACGUG
rnacentral:rRNA from 1 species